ACUCCUACGGGAGGCAGCAGUGGGGAAUAUUGCACAAUGGGCGCAAGCCUGAUGCAGCCAUGCCGCGUGUGUGAAGAAGGCCUUCGGGUUGUAAAGCACUUUCAGUCAGGAGGAAAGGUUAGUAGUUAAUACCUGCUAGCUGUGACGUUACUGAACAGAAGAAGCACCGGCUAACUAC
rnacentral:rRNA from 1 species